AUGGCCAAAGCUUUCUUGGAGGAUGAUUACCUAUAGUUUAAUAUAUUGCCUUUUACUUGAGUUUAUGGGCACAGAAACGCAUGAUACACCAGCCUUCCCUUCUCCUCGCUGUUUUCCUUUUAGGGGAGUUAGCAGAAUAUUGCAUGUUGCCAGAAGAGACCUCCCAUGGUGCAGUCUCCUUGUUCACAGCACGGAAGCUGCCAGAAUAGGAAACAGAGUGGGAAGACGGAGCAGUGGAGCGAGGGUGGCCCAGGACACGCGAGGGGCCCGCCAUAGCCAUCCAGCCUGGUCCUGAGACCUGAGCUGGAAUGUUGGCGUGAUGGUUGAAGCUGUAACAGCCAUCUUCGACUACAAAAUGGAAGCUGCAUGCUACAAAUGACAGAAGACAAGAUCAAAAGAACCUGUGUUCCCAGCACCACAGAACUGUCCCUAUGGAAAUAGACAUGACUGUUACAUAAGAAAGAAAUAUACCCUACUAUGUUUAAGCCUCUGUUAUUUUAGCAUGUGUUGUAGCAGUUGUAUACUAAGUAACUAAUGAGAAAGAAUAUUUUGUGCCCUGGUAAAGAUGGAUACUUCUAUAUGUUAUGAGAACAAUUUGAUGAGGUAAUUGUAAUUUAGUAGAAUAAUAUCAAAUAUUAAUGUCAAAUGACUAGUUUGGCAUUGCCACAUAGUAAUUGUUGGGCAAGUUAUUAACCUGUGUCUCAGUUUCCUCACUGGUAGAAUAACAAUAACAGACAAUCGUACUAGUGUCUAACGUUUUACUGAACAUGUAGCUUGGUUCAGCGCCACACAUUAUUUGAAUUAAGUAGAAUAAGAGAGUCCUGAGUAAAUAUAACCCAAAUGUAAAUUAUUUUUAAACUUUAUUACAUAUGUGAAUAUUAUUAUUUGAGCUUCUCAUACUGACUUCUUAUUUACUUAACUGAUUCUAGGCAUUGACCACUCCUGAGAUUUUGCAUCCAUACUCCCUAAAAGUUCUGGUCCAAAAUUUAGCACACAAUAAAUAUUUAAUGAGGGCAUAGCUUAUUUUUAAGUAGGUACCUCUAUUCACAGAAUGUUUUUCUCUUGAUUAAAAAAAUUAAUUGCAUUAUAUACAUAACAUAAAAUUCACUAUUUUAACC
ensembl:lncRNA novel transcript